GACGAACGCUGGCGGCGUGCCUAAUACAUGCAAGUUGAGCGCUGAAGGUUGGUACUUGUACCAACUGGAUGAGCAGCGAACGGGUGAGUAACGCGUGGGGAAUCUGCCUUUGAGCGGGGGACAACAUUUGGAAACGAAUGCUAAUACCGCAUAAAAACUUUAAACACAAGUUUUAAGUUUGAAAGAUGCAAUUGCAUCACUCAAAGAUGAUCCCGCGUUGUAUUAGCUAGUUGGUGAGGUAAAGGCUCACCAAGGCGAUGAUACAUAGCCGACCUGAGAGGGGGGUCGCCCACAUGGGAAGUGGAACGGGGCCAAAACGACUGAGGGAGGCAGCAGAAGGGAAUGUGCGGCAAUGGACGAAAGUCUGACCGAGUAGGCCGGCGGGAGUGGAAGAGGUUUUGGGUGCGGAAAACUCUGUUUGGAGGGAAAAACCGUGGUGGGAGGGGAAGAAUCGUCAGGGACGGUAAACGACAAAGAAGGGGCGGCUAAAUAAGGG
rnacentral:rRNA from 1 species